GAUGAACGCUGGCGGCGUGCUUAACACAUGCAAGUCGAACGGUGAAGCAGGAGCUUGCCCUUGUGGAUCAGUGGCGAACGGGUGAGUAACACGUGAGCAACCUGCCCCUGACUCUGGGAUAAGCGCUGGAAACGGCGGCUAAUACAGGAUAUUUGCUGUGACAGCAUGGUCUGCAUCUGGCAUGACUUUCGGGUGGGGAUGGGCUCGCGGCCUAUCAGCUUGUUGGUGAGGUAAUGGCCCACCAAGGCGUCGACGGGUUGACGGCCUGAGAGGGUGACCGGGCACACUGGGACUGAGGCACGGCCCAGACUCCAACGGGAGGCAGCAGUGGGGAAUAUUGCACAAUGGGCGGAAGCCUGAUGCAGCAACGCCGCGUGAGGGAUGACGGCCUUCGGGUUGUAAACCUCUUUUAGCAGGGAAGGAGCGAAAGUGACGGUACCCGAAGAAAAAGCACCGGCUAACUACGUGCCAGCCGCCGCAGUAA
rnacentral:rRNA from 1 species